rnacentral:rRNA from 1 species
GACGAACGCUGGCGGCGUGCUUAACACAUGCAAGUCGAGCGGUAAGGCCCUUUCGGGGGUACGACGAGCGGCGAACGGGUGAGUAACACGUGGGUGACCUGCCCUCAGCUCUGGGAUAAGCCUGGGAAACCGGGUCUAAUACUGGAUAUGACUCCAUGACGCAUGUUGUGGGGUGGAAAGCCUUGUGCGGCUGAGGAUGGGCCCGCGGCCUAUCAGCUUGUUGGUGGGGUGANGGCCUACCAAGGCGACGACGGGUAGCCGGCCUGAGAGGGCGACCGGCCACACUGGGACUGAGACACGGCCCAGACUCCUACGGGAGGCAGCAGUGGGGAAUCUUGCGCAAUGGGCGAAAGCCUGACGCAGCGACGCCGCGUGAGGGAUGACGGGCC